UCAGGAUGAAGCGCUGGCGGCGUGCUUAACACAUGCAAGUCGAACGGUGAAGCCCCGCUUGCGGGGUGGAUCAGUGGCGAACGGGUGAGUAACACGUGAGCAACCUGCCCCGGACUCUGGGAUAAGCGCUGGAAACGGCGUCUAAUACUGGAUACGAGCCGUGAAGGCAUCUUCAACGGUUGGAAAGAUUUUUCGGUCUGGGAUGGGCUCGCGGCCUAUCAGCUUGUAGGUGAGGUAAUGGCUCACCAAGGCGUCGACGGGUAGCCGGCCUGAGAGGGUGACCGGCCACACUGGGACUGAGACACGGCCCAGACUCCUACGGGAGGCAGCAGUGGGGAAUAUUGCACAAUGGGCGGAAGCCUGAUGCAGCAACGCCGCGUGAGGGAUGACGGCCUUCGGGUUGUAAACCUCUUUUAGCAAGGAAGAAGCGAAAGUGACGGUACUUGCAGAAAAAGCGCCGGCUAACUACGUGCCAGCAGCCGCGGUAAUACGUAGGGCGCAAGCGUUAUCCGGAAUUAUUGGGCGUAACGAGCUCGUAGGCGGUCUGUCGCGUCUGCUGUGAAAACCCGAGGCUCAACCUCGGGCCUGCAGUGGGUACGGGCAGACUAGAGUGCGGUAGGGGAGAUUGGAAUUCCUGGUGUAGCGGUGGAAUGCGCAGAUAUCAGGAGGAACACCGAUGGCGAAGGCAGAUCUCUGGGCCGUAACUGACGCUGAGGAGCGAAAGGGUGGGGAGCAAACAGGCUUAGAUACCCUGGUAGUCCACCCCGUAAACGUUGGGAACUAGUUGUGGGGUCCUUUCCACGGAUUCCGUGACGCAGCUAACGCAUUAAGUUCCCCGCCUGGGGAGUACGGCCGCAAGGCUAAAACUCAAAGGAAUUGACGGGGACCCGCACAAGCGGCGGAGCAUGAG
rnacentral:rRNA from 1 species